rnacentral:rRNA from 1 species
UACGAAGGGUGCAAGCGUUAUUCGGAUUUAUUGGGCGUAAAGGGUGCGCAGGCGGUGUGUUAAGUCAACUGUUAAAUCUCCCAGCUUAACUGGGAACCAGCAGUAGAUACUGGCAUGCUAGAGGGUGGAAGAGAGAAGUGGAAUUCUCGGAGUAGCGGUAAAAUGCGUAGAUCUCGAGAGGAACACCGAUGGCGAAGGCAGCUUCUUGGUCCAUACCUGACGCUCAUGCACGAAAGCGUGGGGAGCAAACAGG